GGAUGGGGAGUGAUAAGAACCUAGGAUUUGAAUUCCCAGCCUGGCCAACCCUUGCAGCCAUGUCUUGGCCUCAAGUGGAACAAGGGCUCCUUGAGGCCAGCAGGGUUGGGGGAGUUGGGGUGGGCCUGAGCCUCUUUCUUGCUAGAGCUCUUGGUCCUCCCUGCCUCCACCACCCAUCCCUGCUCUGCAGAACCCCUGGGUGCUGAGUGGCAGGAGCCCCAGGGUUGUCUCUUCUGGGUAUGGCUGGCUGGGUCACUAACCUCUGUGAUCUGCUUCCUUCCCUUCCAGAUUAUGCGGAUCAAACCUCACCAAGGCCAGCACAUAGGAGAGAUGAGCUUCCUACAGCACAACAAAUGUGAAUGCAGACCAAAGAAAGAUAGAGCAAGACAAGAAAAUCCCUGUGGGCCUUGCUCAGAGCGGAGAAAGCAUUUGUUUGUACAAGAUCCGCAGACGUGUAAAUGUUCCUGCAAAAACACAGACUCGCGUUGCAAGGCGAGGCAGCUUGAGUUAAACGAACGUACUUGCAGAUGUGACAAGCCGAGGCGGUGAGC
rnacentral:sRNA from 1 species